rnacentral:rRNA from 1 species
UUGACGGGGCCGCACAAGCGGUGGAGCAUGUGGUUUAAUUCGACGCAACGCGAAGAACCUUACCAGGGCUUGACAUCCCCUGACCGCGUAUGAAAGUACGUUUUCACCCUCGGGUGACAGGGAGACAGGUGGUGCAUGGUUGUCGUCAGCUCGUGUCGUGAGAUGUUGGGUUAAGUCCCGCAACGAGCGCAACCCCUACGUUUAGUUGCUAACAGGUGAAGCUGAGCACUCUAGACGAACUGCCGUUGACAAAACGGAGGAAGGUGGGGAUGACGUCAAAUCAUCAUGCCCCUUAUGUUCUGGGCUACACACGUGCUACAAUGGCCGGUACAGACGGAGGCGAAGCCGCGAGGCGGAGCAAAUCCGAAAAAGCCGGUCUCAGCUCGGAUUGCAGGCUGCAAUUCGCCUGCAUGAAGUCGGAAUCGCUAGUAAUCGCAGGUCAGCAUACUGCGGUGAAUACGUUCCCGGGCCUU